UGGCUGACAUGGUCCAGAAGAUUCUCCCCU
rnacentral:piRNA from 1 species